rnacentral:rRNA from 1 species
CAGUAGCCGCGGGAAUACGAAGGGUGCAAGCGUUACUCGGAAUUACUGGGCGUAAAGCGUGCGUAGGUGGUGGUUUAAGUCCGUUGUGAAAGCCCUGGGCUCAACCUGGGAAUUGCAGUGGAUACUGGGUCACUAGAGUGUGGUAGAGGAUAGUGGAAUUUCCGGUGUAGCAGUGAAAUGCGUAGAGAUCGGAAGGAACAUCUGUGGCGAAGGCGACUAUCUGGGCCAACACUGACACUGAGGCACGAAAGCGUGGGGAGCAAACAGGAUUAGAGACCCCGGUAGUCCCUGUCUCUUAUAA